CUCCUUAGCUUUUAAAUUCUCUACAGCCAACCCACUGUAAAAAGAAGACAGACGGAAUUCCUAAAACGCUCGUAGCAUGACCCGCAAAAGAUUUCUACAYGCAUUAACCUGGACUACAGAACACAGGACAAUCACAUGCAGAGGAUGAUGCUUUGCAAAGGAGGAAAAGAGAAGAAGGCAUGGCAGCAUCAGACAAUCACAACCCACCAAGGCCACUGCAUUUAAUAAAU